GCUGGCGGCACGCUUAACACAUGCAAGUCGAACGGGAUCUUCGGAUCUAGUGGCAGACGGGUGAGUAACGCGUGGGAACCUGCCCAGUAGUAGAGAAUAACUUGAGGAAACUUAAGCUAAUACUUUAUACACCCUUCGGGGAAAAGCUUUAUGCGCUAUCGGAUGGGCCCGCGUUAGAUUAGUUUGUUGGUGAGGUAAUGGCUCACCAAGACUACGAUCUAUAGCUGGUCUGAGAGGAUGAUCAGCCACACUGGGACUGAGACACGGCCCAGAC
rnacentral:rRNA from 1 species